UUUCAAUAAACAGUUUAGGCUUCAAGUGCUUUCGAAAUCUCGACUAAAAUCAAUAGAUAAGACAAAAAGAGAAAAAAUCCUCCAUAUACUGUUGAGACACUAUAUAUACGGAUCUUUUCCUGAUUGAGUUUGACAAAUCUUGUUGAUACGGUCAGUUUAUUUCGAUCAAUCCGAUAUGUAGUUGCAACUAAUCAUCUCUGGACAAUCCACGCGCAAUGUUAUUCAGGUUAUUCAUCUUCAAAAAACAUUCGAUAGAGUAAUUUCACAAAUUCACGUUCCGCAGUAGGUGAUCCGGUUUUUGCUGGAUCACCUGGAAAACUAUGCGCAUUCAUACGAGUACAAGUUUCGUGCGGAGGAUAAACAAUGUUCGUGCGGAGGAUACAUACUCGACCAAACUAUAUAUAUGGCAGAUGAGCCCUUAUUCUUCUCAUUAGUUACGAUGUUAAACAAUUUAAUUGAUAACUAAACGAACAAUAAAC